rnacentral:rRNA from 1 species
UACGGGGGGAGCAAGCGUUGUUCGGAUUUACUGGGCGUAAAGGGCGGGUAGGCGGCAUGAUAAGUCACUUGUGAAAUCUCCGGGCUCAACUCGGAACGGCCAAGUGAUACUGUCGCGCUAGAGUGUGGAAGGGGCUACUGGAAUUCUUGGUGUAGCGGUGAAAUGCGUAGAUAUCAAGAGGAACACCUGCGGCGAAGGCGGGUAGCUGGGCCAACACUGACGCUGAACUGCGAAAGCUAGGGGAGCGAACGGG